rnacentral:lncRNA from 1 species
CAUUUUCCUCUGUAGAGUCAUAAAAUUUUACUUUCAGAUGGGAGUUUAUUCUGGAGAUCUGCGUCUGGAUUCCAGAAGAUAAAGCCAAAAUAUGGAAAGCUUCAAAACAAGAUGGUCAGGCCUGUCCAAACCCCUGUGUGUUGUGUAUUUGGAGAAAUGAGGAGAUGCUAGAGAAUUUGUGGAAAGAUGUAGGUCUGCUAUGGGCUGAAUUGUAUACUCUUACGUAUAGUUCCUGAUUUCUAGUACCUCAGGAUGGGACUGUAU